UGUCUGUGUGAAGUGAGUCUUGUGUAAAUUAUAGACUCACCAGCUGAAUAAUAAAGCAACAAAUGAAACACAAUUACAUGAAAAUUGUUUGUUGCAUUCGAUGCCUUCAGGAGCAAUACACAGUCUUCAGAUAAAUGAUGUAAAUGUAGAGAGUGAGUUUGCAUUGUGAUCACAUGCUUCAGUGAUCUGAGAGUGUUUAUAGUGCUGUGAGUUUAACACUUCAUGACUCACAACACAACACAACACAAUCUUCAUCAACACACAAAACAACAAUGACUUUCAGCAUCAUCUUCAUCUGGACGCUCACAGUGUUUGCUCAAGAGUGUAGAGGACAGUACACUGUUACUCAGAGUCCAUCAACAACAGCAGUUCAACAAGGACAACAUGUUCAAAUAAAGUGUAAAGUCAGCAGUGCAGUAUUCACAGAUAACAGGGGUCCCCGAAUGAGCUGGUACUUACAGAAACCUGGAGAAGCUCCUAAACUCCUCAUAUAUUAUGCAACAAGCCGCCAGUCUGGAGUGUCAUCUAGAUUCAGUGGCAGUGGAUCAAACACAGAUUUUACUCUGAGCAUCAGUGGAGUUCAGACUGAAGAUGCAGGAGAUUAUUACUGUCAGAGUUAUCACAAUGACCCAGUGUUGACACAGUGAUAAAGAGUCGUUC